GGAGACGUGCCAGAGCGGCCGAAUGGGACACACUGCUAAUGUGUUGCCCGGGCAACCGGGCCGAGGGUUCAAAUCCCUCCGUCUCCGCCA
rnacentral:tRNA from 1 species